GACAGAGGGUGCAACCGUUGUUCGGAAUUACUGGGCGUAAAGCGCGCGCAGGCGGUCCUUUAAGUCUGAUGUGAAAGCCCACGGCUCAACCGUGGAGGGUCAUUGGAAACUGGGGGACUUGAGUGCAGAAGAGGAAAGCGGAAUUCCACGUGUAGCGGUGAAAUGCGUAGAGAUGUGGAGGAACACCAGUGGCGAAGGCGGCUUUCUGGUCUGUAACUGACGCUGAGGCGCGAAAGCGUGGGGAGCAAACAGG
rnacentral:rRNA from 1 species